rnacentral:misc_RNA from 1 species
GCCAUGUGACACAAGUAGAGUAAAAGCAAAAUAAUUUACACAUACUUCAGUUGCACUCAACUUUUGAAACCUUAUUUCAUUUCAAAUCAUGAAAAAUUUGGCUCACUUCUACCAGAAUGAGUUCUUCAAUAUUUCAUGUUUUUUCACUUUCUAGUUUAACAGCAGUAAAAGAAGGGGUGGAAGUCAAAUAAGAGGAUUUAUAUGGUAGCCUUUUACAUCUUUCUGCACCAGAGAUGGAUAAGCUUGACCUUAGCAAUAUCAU